rnacentral:lncRNA from 1 species
CGCUGAGUGGCGGGUAUAGGGUGUCACACCCCUCGGAGCCCCGAGGAUGAGGGGUGAGCGUCCGGGCAACCGCCAAGCUCCUGAGGCUGGCCCACUGACACCAUAGAGUCUUUAUCAGGAACCAUAUCUUUGCUCCGUCACC